rnacentral:rRNA from 1 species
AGUGAACGCUGGCGGUAGGCCUAACACAUGCAAGUCGAACGGCAGCACAGUAAGAGCUUGCUCUUACGGGUGGCGAGUGGCGGACGGGUGAGGAAUACAUCGGAAUCUACUUUUUCGUGGGGGAUAACGUAGGGAAACUUACGCUAAUACCGCAUACGACCUACGGGUGAAAGCAGGGGAUCUUCGGACCUUGCGCGAUUGAAUGAGCCGAUGUCGGAUUAGCUAGUUGGUGGGGUAAAGGCCCACCAAGGCGACGAUCCGUAGCUGGUCUGAGAGGAUGAUCAGCCACACUGGAACUGAGACACGGUCCAGACUCCUACGGGAGGCAGCAGUGGGGAAUAUUGGACAAUGGGCGCAAGCCUGAUCCAGCCAUACCGCGUGGGUGAAGAAGGCAUUCGGGUUGUAAAGCCCUUUUGUUGGGAAAGAAAAGCAGCAGGUUAAUACCCCGCUGUUCUGACGGUACCCAAAGAAUAAGCACCGGCUAACUUCGUG